UAGAGAUCAUAGAGACCUUCACCGUAAGAAAUUUAUAUUAAUUAUGUAAUUAAUUAGGGUAAUGUAAUAAUUUUAUAUUAAUUCAAUUUUCCUUCAUUCUUAUCUACCAAACAACUAGAAAGGAGAUGUACUUUCCUUUCUAUCUCUUCUAUUUUCUAUCAUCUCUAUACUUUCUAUCAUAUUUUCUGUACGUGUCAUGUCUUUGAGUGGCAAAUUAUAUAAAUACUCUUGUUUAGUAUUUCUGCAUCCGUAUUGUCUUUCUAAGAUCUUUUCUGUGAGAGAGAUUCCAGAGAUCUUCCUGAGGUUGAAGAUGGAGUUCGAAUCUGCUUGAUCUGAAGGGAGUUCAGAUUACUGUGCUGAAGUUGGUUCAGCUGUGUGUAUGCUAAGUGUUCUUGUGUACAGAGAUCUAAAAGAGUUUAGAUCUCAAAGCUUGAGGUUGUUCAAGUGUUAGGUAACUUUGUAUAUAAAAGUCAAUUUAGAUUACAUUGUUUGAUUUGAAGAAUCAGAACUGGAAUUUGUAAUUGAAUUGAUUUUAUAGUGGAAGUUACUGUACUCGGUUCAAGGGAACCCAAGCACUAUUCGGUUGGAAUGUGUUUCCAAUGCAGAGGAAGCUUGUAAAUUCUGUGUUCUUUGAUUUUAAAUUCUGUUCCUAGCAUAGAAUUAAUCUGUUGAGAAUUAUCAAUUAGAACUUAUAGUAAUUAGGACUUUCAUUUUCUAUUCUCUAUACCAAUUCACAUAAGACACUAUAAUAACGAGUUAAAUGAUAUAAGAAAUUACAGAAAAAAUUGAUGUACAUAAUUAAUAAAAAAAAGUAGUGAAUAUUUAAAUAAGCUACAAUGAUUUACGUUAUUUAGAGGGCUAAUGUUAACCUAAAUUUUGUCAACCUAAUGUGGCAUAUCCACGUAAGCCAAAGACAGAGUACAGGUGGAAUACAUCAUUCCCAGUAGUAAGACAGGCUCUCCAUACAAGGUAUGGCAAAAUUAUCAAACAGCAACUGAAAGAAGGGGUUGUAGCAACAUGACUGGCCGGCCAAGAGGAGCCUAUAGGCCGGCUAGGGUGAACAUAUAGGUCGGCCAAGAUCUGAGCACAAGUUGGCCUGCCAAAAAGGUGACUUCCGGGCCAUGGGAACUUUUGUUCGACCAAGGGAACCUGGCCUCUACAAGAGAACAGUGUACAAAGUUAUUCUCCACUUGCAAAAGGCUGGCCUCUACAUCCAAAGACUAGUCUCCUCUUGGUAAAUUCAUAGUAACCUGCAGGAUCGUGGCAGGCACAUGACCUACCAGGUCAUGGCUGGACCAUGGCUGGCCAGAAUUGACUUCGCAGGACCAUGGCCGACCAGACCUCCCCUGUAGGUCUAUGGGCGGCCAAGCGAUCAACCCGGCAGGACUCUAUGUACCUAAAACGUAAACAACAAGCUACCUGCAAAUCAGGCGCUUAACAGCCCAACAAACUGAUGGAAAAUAUCUACUUUUGAGGGGCAAUUUAGUCUUUUAUAUUUAAUUAAUUUAAUGUGUAAAUAUCUAAGGGUUUCUUUGUAAAUUAGGUUUUUAGGCUUCCUAUAUAAAGGCCUUAACUCUAGCUUAGAAAACCUAAGUUACUAAACCUUAACCUAACCUCCAAAUCACUCUAAGUCCGAAAACUUAUUCUCUCUCUCUCUCUCUCUCUCUCUCUCUCUCUCUUGUACAUGCCCAAUAGGGCUCUCUCUCUUCUCACUUCAUCUCUCACGUGCCUCUAAGGCUUUUCAUCUCUCUCAUUAGAGAUCUUUCUACUUGAUCUAUGUUUUGUAUCCUUAUAGAGAGCUAUAUCAGAUCUCAGCUAUAGUGAUCAUCUUAAUAGUAUAGUAUUAUCUCUAAGAGGGCCAAACUUCUAUAAAAA